rnacentral:rRNA from 1 species
UACGGGGGGGGCAAGCGUUGUUCGGAAUUACUGGGCGUAAAGGGCGGGUAGGCGGCCACCGCAAGUCAGUUGUGAAAUCUCCGGGCUUAACCCGGAAAGGUCAACUGAUACUGCGGGGCUAGAGUGCAGAAGGGGCAACUGGAAUUCUCGGUGUAGCGGUGAAAUGCGUAGAUAUCGAGAGGAACACCUGCGGCGAAGGCGGGUUGCUGGGCUGACACUGACGCUGAACUGCGAAAGCUAGGGGAGCGAACGGG